UACGUAGGGUGCAAGCGUUGUCCGGAAUUAUUGGGCGUAAAGAGCUCGUAGGCGGUUUGUCGCGUCGACUGUGAAAUCCCGCGGCUCAACUGCGGGUCUGCAGCCGAUACGGGCAGGCUAGAGUUCGGUAGGGGAGACUGGAAUUCCUGGUGUAGCGGUGAAAUGCGCAGAUAUCAGGAGGAACACCGGUGGCGAAGGCGGGUCUCUGGGCCGAUACUGACGCUGAGGAGCGAAAGCGUGGGGAGCGAACAGG
rnacentral:rRNA from 1 species